GGCGGUGAAAGAGAUUCGUGCAUUCGAAAGGCAUCGAGAAUACAAGCUCUCGAGAUCGGGGCAUGGCUCAGGAAUCACCUCCUUGGAGAAACCAAUUACAUUAGAAUAAAACCACGAAGUGGAUAGUGCAUAACUGAGAGAAAAAGUCGCGUUUGAAAGACAGAUUGUUGAGAAUGGUGAUUCAAAUAUUCUUGAAAAAUUCCCAGCAACAUUAAUAUUUGCACCCAUCACAUUCUUGAAAGUAAUGCUACCAACAACUGGAAGUGCACUUGUGUCAAUGGAAAUCGGAGUAUCCUAUCAUGCUUAUUCCCAAGUGAAUAUUUUCCUUCUG
rnacentral:sRNA from 1 species